rnacentral:tRNA from 1 species
UUCCCUGUAGCGCAAUGGAUAGCACGUUGGACUUCUAAUCCAAAGGUUGUGGGUUCGAAUCCCACCUAGGAUG